GGGGAGUGAGUGGUAUCUAUCAGUUCUAAACCAAUGAUCCUCCAUUUAGCUAUAUAUGGCAUAUAGCUGUUAACUGGCACAAAGGUAGUGGGGGAGGGGAGGCUAGCAGGAUGUGAGGAAUUUACAUAGUAAACAGCAGCUGACCACAUUGUAGGGGGGGGAAGGGAACAUUUACUCUAGAAGCCAGUUUUAACAUAGUGAACAGAGAAU